UACAGAGGGUGCAAGCGUUGUUCGGAAUUAUUGGGCGUAAAGCGCGUGUAGGCGGCUUUGCAAGUCGGGUGUGAAAGCCCUCAGCUCAACUGAGGAAGUGCGCCCGAAACUGCAGAGCUUGAGUGCCGGAGAGGGUGGCGGAAUUCCCCAAGUAGAGGUGAAAUUCGUAGAUAUGGGGAGGAACACCGGUGGCGAAGGCGGCAUCCUGGACCGACACUGACGCUGAGGAGCGAAAGCCAGGGGAGCAAACGGG
rnacentral:rRNA from 1 species